rnacentral:rRNA from 1 species
UUAAAGAAAGCGUAAUAGCUCACUGGUCGAGUCGGCCUGCGCGGAAGAUGUAACGGGGCUAAACCAUGCACCGAAGCUGCGGCAGCGACACUAUGUGUUGUUGGGUAGGGGAGCGUUCUGUAAGCCUGCGAAGGUGACCUGUGAGGGUUGCUGGAGGUAUCAGAAGUGCGAAUGCUGACAUAAGUAACGAUAAAGCGGGUGAAAAGCCCGCUCGCCGGAAGACCAAGGGUUCCUGUCCAACGUUAAUCGGGGCAGGGUGAGUCGACCCCUAAGGCGAGGCCGAA